rnacentral:rRNA from 1 species
GAGUUUGAUCCUGGCUCAGAACGAACGCUGGCGGCGCGCCUAAUACAUGCAAGUCGAGCGAGAAGGUGUAGCAAUACACUUGUAAAGCGGCGAACGGGUGAGGAAUACAUGGGUAAUCUACCAUCGAGUGGGGAAUAACCAGCCGAAAGGUUGGCUAAUACCGCGUACGCCUCCGGAUCUUCGGGUUCGGAGGGAAAGCCACACUGUGAGUGCGGCGCUCUUUGAUGAGCUCAUGUCCUACCAGCUUGUUGGUAGGGUAACGGCCUACCAAGGCUUUGACGGGUAGCUGGUCUGAGAGGACGAUCAGCCACACUGGCACUGCGACACGGGCCAGACUCCUACGGGAGGCAGCAGUAAGGAAUAUUGCGCAAUGGGCGAAAGCCUGACGCAGCGACGCCGCGUGGGGGAUGAAGGUCUUCGGAUUGUAAACCCCUUUCGGGAGGGAAGAUGGAGCGAGCAAUCGUUCGGACGGUACCUCCAGAAGCAGCCACGGCCAACUUCGUGCCAGCAGCCGCGGUAAUCGCC